UAUUGCCCUGCAUAAAACGUUAUUUCUGCCUCCCUGGAGUCUAUGAGCCGCUAUGUCAGCCCCAUCAACCCGGCUGUGUUUCCCCAUCUUACUAUUGUCCUGCUGGGGAUAGGCAUCUUCUUCAUGGCCUGGUUCUUUGUAUAUGAGGUAACAUCAAC